AUAUACGACCGUACCGCAAACCGACACUGGUGCGCGAGAUGAGUAUUCUAAGGCGCUUGAGAGAACUCAGGAGAAGGAACUCGGCAAAUUGACACCGUAACUUCGGAAGAAGGUGUGCCCUAUUAGUGUGUAGUGAACAACGAAGCAUGAAUGGGUUGCAAAAAAUCGGUGGCUGCGACUGUUUAUUAAAAACACAGCACUCUGCAAACACGAAAGUGGACGUAUAGGGUGUGACGCCUGCCCGGUGCUGGAAGAUUAAAUGAUGGGGUGCAAGCUCUUGAUUGAAGUCCCAGUAAACGGCGGCCGUAACAAUAACGGUCCUAAGGUAGCGAAAUUCCUUGUCGGGUAAGUUCCGACCUGCACGAAUGGCGUAACGAUGGCCACACUGUCUCCUCCUGAGACUCAGCGAAGUUGAAAUGUUUGUGAUGAUGCAAUCUCCCCGCGGAAAGACGGAAAGACCCCAUGAACCUUUACUGUAGCUUUGUAUUGGACUUUGAACAGAUCUGUGUAGGAUAGGUGGGAGGCUUUGAAGCAGGGUCGCUAGAUCUUGUGGAGCCAACGUUGAAAUACCACCCUGGUGUGUUUGAGGUUCUAACCUAGGUCCAUUAUCUGGAUCGGGGACAGUGCAUGGUAGGCAGUUUGACUGGGGCGGUCUCCUCCCAAAGCGUAACGGAGGAGUUCGAAGGUACGCUAGUUACGGUCGGACAUCGUGACGAUAGUGCAAUGGCAUAAGCGUGCUUAACUGCGAGACUGACAAGUCGAGCAGAUGCGAAAGCAGGACAUAGUGAUCCGGUGGUUCUGUAUGGAAGGGCCAUCGCUCAACGGAUAAAAGGUACUCUGGGGAUAACAGGCUGAUACCGCCCAAGAGUUCAUAUCGACGGCGGUGUUUGGCACCUCGAUGUCGGCUCAUCUCAUCCUGGGGCUGUAGCCGGUCCCAAGGGUAUGGCUGUUCGCCAUUUAAAGAGGUACGUGAGCUGGGUUUAAAACGUCGUGAGACAGUUUGGUCCCUAUCUUCCGUGGGCGCUGCAGAUUUGAGGAAGCCUGCUCCUAGUACGAGAGGACCGGAGUGGACACACCUCUGUGUAUCGGUUGUCACGCCAGUGGCAUUGCCGAGUAGCUAAGUGUGGAAGAGAUAACCGCUGAAAGCAUCUAAGCGGGAAACUCGUUUCAAGAUGAGAUCUGCCGGGGCCUUGAGCCCCCUAAAGAGUCGUUCAAGACCAGGACGUUGAUAGGUCAGGUGUGGAAGCGAA
rnacentral:rRNA from 1 species